CUCUGACCUCAUCUCCUGCUCUUCCUCCAGCCACAGUGGCCUCUGAGCUCUUCCUCAAGGUUUGGGGAAAUGCCCUCAGCCAUUCCCAGAUGAUUCAGCCCUGCUGACAUGCUGGAAUUGGCUUCCGGCAGGCAAGGAUGGCACCAGGACAGUGUCCGCUUCGUCUCUGGCAGCUCCUGGAUGCGCUGCUCUUAGCAAAGCUCUUCCGGAAGGCGAUGGCCAUUGAUCCACUAGAGAAUUGGCCGUGUUCAGUCAAUCACACCCCGGAGAGACGGGCAUCCUCUGGGGGCUCUUAUUUUUCCAUUUCUUGUGGCAUUUUCUGUUUUAAUCUUACUCUGGCCGAACUGAACGGGUCUGCAGAGAGACUGCUGGUCGGAGGGAGUCUGGAGGGCAUUGUUUUCAUGAAGUUAGAGAUCAGCUUUUUUUAAAAAAAAUUUUUUUUAAAUUUUAUUUGAGGGGUUUGUGCUGCCAGAGGGAAACUCUGUUCAACUGUCCUCUGCUGCCUUCACCCUUCUUCCCUCAUCACAGACACUGUGCCCUGAAAAUCAGCAACAACUCACUGUCCCAAGGCAGAGAGGGCCAGAAAUUGUUCCGCAGACCUCAUUCCAAGAAGGCGCUUUCCCCCUUCAUCCAUGUCAAAAUUGA